GACGUAGGGCGCGAGCGUUGUCCGGAUUUAUUGGGCGUAAAGAGCUCGUAGGCGGUCUGUCGCGUCGAUCGUGAAAACUUGGGGCUUAACCCUGAGCUUGCGGUCGAUACGGGCAUGACUGGAGUUCGGCAGGGGAGACUGGAAUUCCUGGUGUAGCGGUGAAAUGCGCAGAUAUCAGGAAGAACACCUAUGGCGAAGGCAGCUCUCUGGGACGGUACUGACGCUGAGACGCGAAAGCGUGGGGAGCGAACAGG
rnacentral:rRNA from 1 species